rnacentral:ncRNA from 1 species
AUACCUGUGAGAAGUUGAGAUCCUGCGCAUUGGAAACAAGGAAACAACUUGUGCCUGAUCUUCAAA